rnacentral:rRNA from 1 species
AUGGGCGAGCCUGAUGGAGCAACGCCGCGUGAGUGAAGAAGGUUUUCGGAUCGUAAAACUCUGUUGUAAGGGAAGAACAAGUACAGUAGUAACUGGCUGUACCUUGACGGUACCUUAUUAGAAAGCCACGGCUAACUACGUGCCAGCAGCCGCGGUAAUACGUAGGUGGCAAGCGUUGUCCGGAAUUAUUGGGCGUAAAGCGCGCGCAGGCGGUCCUUUAAGUCUGAUGUG